AGCGCUCGGUCUGGCGCGAGUUACCAGGCGACGGCGCGGCGCGGCCGCAGGCAAGCUGGGACUUGUAGUCCGCCUAAAAGAGGCGGGCACUCACCGGACAGCCGCCCAGCGGUUGUUGCGCUUGUGCGACGUCUAAGGAAGCCGGACUGAAGGUUCGCUUUUGCAAUUGACGGCUGUUACCUCAGUCUCCGCGUUGUUCUGCAGGGCUUGUGGAGUGAAUUCGGGGCCAUUUCUCCUGAGUUAGGGUGGUGGGUGGGACGCCCAGUAAUAAGAACCCGAUACAGAAGCCAAAUUAUGGAGUCCACAAAAAAUAGUAAGAAAUCCAGAAAUAGACUAUUGAAAUCUUCACUUUGGGCCAUUCCUGAUUCUCAGCACCACUCCAGAUCUCCCACUACUCAAUAGUAAGGGAAUUCUAUGAAACUUAAACUUUUUCCUCUCUGGAAGCUGGUGCCAGUUUUCUCCUUUGUAGAAAAGCUGCAGUUCUUUAAAAGAUGAAGAAAUUCACUUUGACUAGAAAACAUCUGAGGAGAGAACAGCUGGUCUUCAAGGUAUGUUUUGACUCUGAAUCCUGCUAUUGGGGAGAGAACCCAGGAGGAGUUCAGCAAUCUCCCUGAACUAAGAUGGAGCUGGAGAUCCAGGGAGGCCAAAGCAGCUAGAAUUCACAGAACACAGUUUCGAGAAGAGAAGAGGGCUUCACAGAGACAAAGCACUCCAGAAAUCUACAGAGAAUCUCCCUUGAGUCUUCAGUUAAAUAACAAUCAGAACAUCAUUUGAGGAAACUACCUGAGGCUGGGUAAAGUACCACUGGAAAAGAGCAAAGAGAAUAAUCCUCAGAUUACCAGCUCCAAUAAGAUAAAAUUCACAAUGUCUGGCAUCCAGUAAAAGUUAUCAGGAUGCAAAGAAGCAGGAAAAUAUGAUGCAUACUGAGGAGAAAAUUAAUAUAAACAGAUCAAGAAUUGCACAGGAACUAGAAUUAGUAGAUAUAUGUAAUAGUUGUUACAUAUAUAUUCCAUAUGUUCAAGAAGUUAGAGGAAAAAUUGAAAAUGUUAAGUAGAGGGGCGCCUGGGUGGCUCAGUUGGUUAAGCGUCUGCCUUUGGCUCAGGU